rnacentral:rRNA from 1 species
GUAGGGGGCGAGCGUUGUCCGGAAUCAUUGGGCGUAAAGGGCGCGCAGGCGGCCUGCCGAGCCCGGCGUGAAAGCCCCCGGCUCAACCGGGGGAGGUCGUCGGGGACCAGCAGGCUCGAGGCCGGUAGGGGCGAGCGGAAUUCCCGGUGUAGUGGUGGAAUGCGUAGAGAUCGGGAGGAACACCGGUGGCGAAGGCGGCUCGCUGGGCCGGUCCUGACGCUCAGGCGCGAAAGCGUGGGGAGCGAUCCGGAUUAGAUACCCGGGUAGUCCACGCGGUAAACGAUGGGCACUAGGUGUCGGGGGUAUCGACCCCCCCGGUGCCGCAGCUAACGCAGUAAGUGCCCCGCCUGGGGAGUACGGCCGCAAGGCUAAA